rnacentral:rRNA from 1 species
UGCCAGCCGCCGCGGUAAUACGGAGGGUGCAAGCGUUAAUCGGAAUCAUUGGGCGUAAAGCGCACGUAGGCGGCUUAUUAAGUCGGAUGUGAAAUCCCGGGGCUCAACCUCGGAAUGCCAUUGGAAACUGAUAAGCUUGAGAGUGAGAGGGGUUAGUGGAAUUGCUGGUGUAGGGGUGAAAUCCGUAGAGAUCAGCAGGAACACCGGUGGCGAAGGCGACUGACUGGAUCAUUUCUGACGCUGAGGUGCGAAAGCGUGGGUAGCAAACAGGAUUAGAUA